AAGAUUUUGGGUAAUUAUCUGUUUCUGCACUCUAUACCGCGAUUUUCAAGACUUGGCUGGACCGAGAGGAGUUUGCGCGUUGUGGAUGCUAGCAGCUAGCUGGAGCGUGUUAGCCUCUUCAGUCGAAGUUGGGUUUACAACAAGGAGGGCUGAGCUGAACGUGUCCACUGAGGAAGACGCCAAUCAGCAAUAAGGAGUACAUGAAGUCCGACUCAGACAACAUCAGUCACAGAAGUAGAGGAGGAACACAGCUCACUUUGCAUUCACUCCUCCUCACAUGGACUCAUUAUUUUCUUGCAUCUCUUUUAAAAGUGUUGUGGUUGUGAAGAAGUAAUUUCUCCUUGUAUUGUUCUUGGUUCUUGUUUUUUUA